rnacentral:rRNA from 1 species
GAGUUUGAUCAUGGCUCAGGAUGAACGCUAGCGGUAUGCUUAACACAUGCAAGUCGUACGAGAGUUUUUAACUCAAGUGGCGGACGGGUGAGUAACACGUGAGAAUUUGCCUUUAGGAGAGGGAUAACAAUUGGAAACGAUUGCUAAAACCUCAUAUGCUUUUGAGUGAAAUAGAUUUAUCUGCCUAGAGAGAAGCUCGCGACUGAUUAGCUUGUUGGUAAGGUAAUGGCUUACCAAGGCGACGAUCAGUAUCUGGUUUGAGAGGACGAUCAGACACACUGGAACUGAGACACGGUCCAGACUCCUACGGGAGGCAGCAGUGGGGAAUUUUCCGCAAUGGGCGAAAGCCUGACGGAGCAAUACCGCGUGAGGGAUGACGGCCUAUGGGUUGUAAACCUCUUUUUUCAGGGAGGAAUAAAUGACGUGUACCUGAAGAAUAAGCAUCGGCUUACUCCGUGCCAGCAGCCGCGGUAAGACGGAGGAUGCAAGUGUUAUCCGGAAUCACUGGGCGUAAAGCGUCUGUAGGUGGUUUAUUAAGUCGACUGUUAAAUCUUGAAGCUCAACUUCAAAACUGCAUUCGAAACUAUUAGACUAGAGUAUAGUAGGGGUAAAGGGAAUUUCCAGUGGAGCGGUGGAAUGCGUAGAUAUUGGAAAGAACACCGAUGGCGAAGGCACUUUACUGGGCUAUUACUGACACUCAGAGACGAAAGCUAGGGUAGCAAAUGGGAUUAGAUACCCCCAGUAGUCCUAGCUGUAAACAAUGGAUACUAGAUGUUGAACAGAUCGACCUGUGCAGUAUUAAAGCUAACGCGUUAAGUAUCCCGCCUGGGAAGUAUGCUCGCAAGAGUGAAACUCAAAGGAAUUGACGGGGGCCCGCACAAGCGGUGGAGCAUGUGGUUUAAUUCGAUGCAACGCGAAGAACCUUACCAGGGUUUGACAUGAUACGAAUCUCUUUGAAAAAAGAGAGUGCCGUUUGGAACGUAUACACAGGUGGUGCAUGGCUGUCGCCAGCUCGUGUCGUGAGAUGUUGGGUUAAGUCCCGCAACGAGCGCAACCCUUGUUUUUAGUUGCCUUCUAUGGAACUCUAGAAAGACUGCCGGUUAUAAACCGGAGGAAGGCGAGGAUGACGUCAAGUCAGCAUGCCCCUUACACCCUGGGCUACACACGUGCUACAUUGGACGAGACAAUAAGAUGCAACUCCGCGAGGAUUAGCUAAUCUAUAAACUCGUUCUAAGUUCGGAUUGUAGGCUGCAACUCGCCUACAUGAGGGUGGAAUCGCUAGUAAUCGCUGGUCAGCUAUACAGCGGUGAAUCCGUUCCCGGGCCUUGUACACACCGCCCGUCACACCAUGGAAGCUGGUUAUACCCGAAGUCGUUACUCUAACCAUUUGGAGGAGGAUGCCUAAGGUAGAAUUAGUGACUGGGGUGAAGUCGUAACAAGGUAACC